GCUGUAAACCUAGCCCUCAAAAAACAAUAACCCUCAAAUCCCAACUAAAUCAUUUAUACUCUUUAGUAUAGGCGAUAAAAAAAGAAAUAAGCGCGACAGACAGAGUACCGUAAGGGAAAGAUGAAAUAGUUAUGAAAUAGCCACCAAAGCACUAAAAAGCAGAGAUACAUCCUCGUACCUUUUGCAUCAUGGUCUAGCAAGAAACCUUAAGCAAAAUGCAUUAAAGUUUAACCCCCCGAAACUAGACGAGCUACUCCGAGGCAGCUAUAAGAGCAAACCCAUCUCUGUGGCAAAAGAGUGGGAAGACCCCCGAGUAGAGGUGACAAGCCUACCGAGCCUAGUGAUAGCUGGUUGCUUACGAAAAGAAUAUUAGUUCUGCCUCAUAACUGUUUAAAGCACUAUAAAGCAAAUAACAAACUUGAGAGUUAGUCAAAAGGGGUACAGCCCAUUUGACUCAGGAAACAACCUAACACCCAGGGUAAAGAUUAUAAUAAACAAGGAUUUUGACCCAGUGGGCCUAAAAGCAGCCACCUACUAAGAAAGCGUCAUAGCUCUAUCAGCACCCAACCCAACAAUCCCAAUAACCACUCUGAUCCCUCCUAGUAGUAAGCCCUCCUAUUCACAUAUAGAAUUGUUUAUGCUAGAACUAGUAACUAGAAUAAUUCUCCUAAUGCAAGUGCACAUCAGCCCGAAACACUCACUGAUAACUAACGACUACUGAACCCACUGUAGUAACACUCCCAGAAAAACCUACACGAACCAUCGUUAACCUAACACAAGAGCAUCCCAGAAAAGAUUUAAAGACGUGGAAGGAACUCGGCAAACACGAACUUCGCCUGUUUACCAAAAACAUCGCCUCUUGUCAACUAUAAGAGGUCCCGCCUGCCCAGUGACUACAUGUUCAACGGCCGCGGUAUUAUGACCGUGCAA
rnacentral:rRNA from 1 species